UCUGAUUAAGUGCAGUUGAUGUUAUCUGUAUUGCUGUUAUUAUAGCAAAACGCCAUGGGAUAAAUAUUCUAAUAGCAUCCCUCUUCCAAAUUGAUUCCCACAUCUCCCCUGGCUUUGGCUUUGGAGAACCUGGGUCUCGUCAUGACUGGCCUUUCUUGGUAGCUGGCUUUAGUCCUGGACACCUUCAGUCAUCUUGGAUAAGACUAAGAGAUCUCACAGGUGUGGUUUGGUGGAGAGUGAGAUCCAAUGGUCUGAGACUGUCACGUAUUAAUUUAAAUGUGACUGCUGAUUUGCACUGGAUUUGUGGGGGAAAACACUUUAAAAACUGAAUAAAAAACCAGAAGAGCCUUUUGUCAGAUACAGCUCCAUGUUAGAUAUGGCUCAUGUUUGGCUCUGGUGUAUCAGAAUAUGAGAUUUGGACCUUAGAAAGCAGUUCCUGCUCUCCUUUGCAGAUGUGUUUUUUUGUCAAAGUGCAGCAUUAUGCCAAACAAAGUGUUCAGAGGAAACAGCAUGAAAGAGUCACAUGAUUCCCUUCAUGAUUUUCAUGAAAAUCCACUGGGAAAUAAACAAAUGGAACAUCUAUGAGUUGACUGGCUUCUGAAGGAGACAAGAGGGAGUCUUUCCAAGAAUCUUAAUUGUUAUUAGAGACUAGCUUUAUUUUUUCGAAGAUUGUUUCCCAGCAGUACAGAAACAUGGUUUCUAGAAGAACUUGUUAGUCAUGGAGUAUUAAAAUCGAUUAAUGACACAUGAGAUGUGCACAUAUAAGCACCAUUUUGAAGG
rnacentral:lncRNA from 10 species